rnacentral:misc_RNA from 1 species
UACGGAGGGUGCGAGCGUUGUUCGGAAUUACUGGGCGUAAAGCGCGCGUAGGCUGACUAUUAAGUCAGGGGUGAAAUCCCGGGGCUCAACCCCGGAACUGCCCUUGAUACUGGUAGUCUGGAGUUCUGGAGCGGUGAGUGGAAAUCCGAGUGUAGAGGUGAAAUUCGUAGAUACUCGGAGGAACACCAGUGGCGAAGGCGGGUCACUGGCCAGAUACGGACGCUGAGGUGCGAAAGUGUGGGGAGCAAACAGG